rnacentral:rRNA from 1 species
GUCCAUCCUCAACGCGACGACGGGUAGCCGGCCUGAGAGGGCGACCGGCCACACUGGGACUGAGACACGGCCCAGACUCCUACGGGAGGCAGCAGUGGGGAAUAUUGCACAAUGGGCGAAAGCCUGAUGCAGCGACGCCGCGUGAGGGAUGACGGCCUUCGGGUUGUAAACCUCUUUCAGCAGGGAAGAAGCGAAAGUGACGGUACCUGCAGAAGAAGCGCCGGCUAACUACGUGCCAGCAGCCGCGGUAAUACGUAGGGCGCAAGCGUUGUCCGGAAUUAUUGGGCGUAAAGAGCUCGUAGGCGGCUUGUCACGUCGGUUGUGAAAGCCCGGGGCUUAACCCCGGGUCUGCAGUCGAUACGGGCAGGCUAGAGUUCGGUAGGGGAGAUCGGAAUUCCUGGUGUAGCGGUGAAAUGCGCAGAUAUCAGGAGGAACACCGGUGGCGAAGGCGGAUCUCUGGGCCGAUACUGACGCUGAGGAGCGAAAGCGUGGGGAGCGAACAGGAUUAGAUACCCUGGUAGUCCACGCCGUAAACGGUGGGCACUAGGUGUGGGCAACAUUCCACGUUGUCCGUGCCGCAGCUAACGCAUUAAGUGCCCCGCCUGGGGAGUACGGA